rnacentral:rRNA from 1 species
AUACGUAGGUGACAAGCGUUAUCCGGAUUUACUGGGCGUAAAGGGCGUGUAGGCGGUCUUGCAAGUCAGAAGUGAAAUUCCUGAGCUCAACUCGGGCGCUGCUUCUGAAACUGCAGGACUUGAGUGCUGGAGGGGAUAGCGGAAUUCCUAGUGGAGCGGUAAAAUGCGCAGAUAUUAGGAAGAACACCGGUGGCGAAGGCGGCUAUCUGGACAGUAACUGACGCUGAGGCGCGAAAGCGUGGGGAGCAAACAGGAUUAGAUACCCUGGUAGUCCACGCUGUAAACUAUGAUAACUAUCUUUUAGCGAUACACAGUUAGAGGGUACGAGAAAUCAUUAAGUUAUCCGCCUGGGGAUUACGUUCGCAAGAAUGAAACUCAAAUGAAUUGACGGGG